rnacentral:rRNA from 1 species
UACGGAGGGGGCUAGCGUUGUUCGGAAUUACUGGGCGUAAAGCGCACGUAGGCGGUGGUGCAUGUCAGAUGUGAAAGCCCUGGGCUUAACCUGGGAAUUGCAUUUGAAACUGCGCCGCUAGAGACCGGAAGAGGGUAGUGGAAUUCCCAGUGUAGAGGUGAAAUUCGUAGAUAUUGGGAAGAACACCAGUGGCGAAGGCGGCUACCUGGUCCGGUACUGACGCUGAGGUGCGAAGGCGUGGGGAGCAAACAGG